GUCGAGCGAGCAGAACCAGCAGAUUUACUUCGGUAAUGACGCUGGGGACGCGAGCGGCGGAUGGGUGAGUAACACGUGGGGAACCUGCCCCAUAGUCUGGGAUACCACUUGGAAACAGGUGCUAAUACCGGAUAAGAAAGCAGAUCGCAUGAUCAGCUUAUAAAAGGCGGCGUAAGCUGUCGCUAUGGGAUGGCCCCGCGGUGCAUUAGCUAGUUGGUAAGGUAACGGCUUACCAAGGCAAUGAUGCAUAGCCGAGUUGAGAGACUGAUCGGCCACAUUGGGACUGAGACACGGCCCAAACUCCUACGGGAGGCAGCAGUAGGGAAUCUUCCACAAUGGACGCAAGUCUGAUGGAGCAACGCCGCGUGAGUGAAGAAGGUUUUCGGAUCGUAAAGCUCUGUUGUUGGUGAAGAAGGAUAGAGGUAGUAACUGGCCUUUAUUUGACGGUAAUCAACCAGAAAGUCACGGCUAACUACGUGCCAGCAGCCGCGGUAAUACGUAGGUGGCAAGCGUUGUCCGGAUUUAUUGGGCGUAAAGCGAGCGCAGGCGGAAGAAUAAGUCUGAUGUGAAAGCCCUCGGCUUAACCGAGGAACUGCAUCGGAAACUGUUUUUCUUGAGUGCAGAAGAGGAGAGUGGAACUCCAUGUGUAGCGGUGGAAUGCGUAGAUAUAUGGAAGAACACCAGUGGCGAANGCGACUCUCUGGUCUGCAACUGACGCUGAGGCUCGAAAGCAUGGGUAGCGAACAGGAU
rnacentral:rRNA from 1 species